UAUUUUGGACAAACGCACGGAGUUAUUUAUGUAAACAUACAUAUACAUAUAUGUACAUUUGGAUGUGUGUAAUCCAUCUGUGUCAGAGAGAAGUCUGUGGUCAUUAGUUGCCUCUAAUGUCUUUACUUCUUUGUGGUUAAUGGUUUGGCAAACGACAGCGUGCACGUUGGAAUUUAAUGGUUACAAAUUUUUUCCGUCUUCAGGUUACGAUAAUUAAAUAUUAUUUUCCUCAGAACACAAUAAACCGAAAUUGCAGCAACACAAACGAAUCGAAUCGAACCGUAACGGGACAACACAAAAUAGCAACUGCCAUUCGAGGGCCACAAAAUUCCAAUUCAUGAAAUACAAUUCUGUUCUGAAGAGAUGAUCAAUCGCUGGGGCUGAUUGCACAGGUCUUCGUACAGCACGCUCUCUACAGCAAAUGUUGACAACACGCUCUUUGCGCUGGCAACAUGCUUCACUUGGUAUCUAAACACUGAGUCGAAACACCACGAUCACAUUAAAUAUAAUACGAAACAAGUUUAGCUGGUUCCCUCAAGACAAGUAAUGAUUAGAAGAACUCAAACUUAUGAAAUUUAUACAAAAAUAAUAAUUUAUUAAUAUAAUUUUAUUGACAAAUAUAUUACGUAAAAUUCAAUCAAA